UACGUAGGGGGCAAGCGUUAUCCGGAAUUAUUGGGCGUAAAGAGCUCGUAGGCGGUUUGUCGCGUCUGCUGUGAAAACCCGAGGCUCAACCUCGGACCUGCAGUGGGUACGGGCAGACUAGAGUGCGGUAGGGGAGAUUGGAAUUCCUGGUGUAGCGGUGGAAUGCGCAGAUAUCAGGAGGAACACCGAUGGCGAAGGCAGAUCUCUGGGCCGUAACUGACGCUGAGGAGCGAAAGCGUGGGGAGCGAACAGG
rnacentral:rRNA from 1 species